UUCUUCAGUGUCCCGUCUGUACUCUUCCAGCUUACUGUGUUCCAGUGAAAUCCUUGCCAGGGCUAAACUGUAGAAACCACAGCCCAGGCUCCUGUCCCAUCUGCACCUGAUGAAGAUGUAAGAUCUCAGACUCCAGCCUGAACUGGAUGCCAUCAUCACUGAGGCUUGGCACGCAGAUACAGGGUAGGGAAAGGAAGGUUAUGGGCCAACCUUACUGACUUGCUCCCAGUGAACAGAAUAUGGGGAAGGUGAUGCUGUAUGAAUUCCAAGGCUGGUUGGCCGGGAUAGGCCAGGUGUUCCAGCUGCCCCCCCCAACUAAAGUCCCAGCCAGGGCCUGGCGCCAAAAAUCGGACAUGUGAGUGAACUAGCCUCCAAAUGACUCCAGCCUCAGCCUUCAAGCUGUCCCAGCUAAAGCUGAAGGAAGCAGAGACAAGCUGUCCUGGCCACACUUUCCUGACGGAGGAAGAAAUAGGAUUCUGUCAAUUAUGCAUUGAGCUAUGAAGUAAAGCUAUCCAUCUCUUUCGAUUUAAGUAAAAGGAGGUGGAUACAGAGAACUGAGGUUUCUGAGAAUAGAGGAUCAGCACCAAGAACAAGGUUGGCCUCAGGAUUACACACAAGAACCAGGUCAAAAGAAGAUUUAAUUGUGAAUAGAAAGAUGACAGAUUAGCAAGACUUCCAAAGAGAAAGCCAAAAGCCCAGACUUCAUCUCUUCCUUCCUAGAUGGUGAAAUCUAUGGAUCAGUCUAUGCCCUAUAGUGAGUCACUGAAACAUAAUGAACUACACAGACUGAGUCAGCAGAUCCUGUGAGCCAGACAUGCAAAUGGGAGUGAGGUGGAGGAACACUGUUGAGAGACUAAAGGUGUGAAUGGAGAAAAGAAAGGGAAUGGGCUCUACCUUUGUUGUCAGCCUGACUUCCCAUCAUGGCACAGUCAGCAGGGCACAAGCUGGACAAAGGCUCUCUGAAGCUAAAAGUGUCUGCAUGAGCUGAGAGAAGCAAGUGGUACUAUUCAAGAUGACCGUGAAAGAGUCCUCACAAUAUUUGAUUUGGUAUUGGCAUAAGGAUAGACAUGCAGCCACCGUAUUAGAAUUGGGGAUAUAAAAUAAACUCUGGUGAACUGAUUUUCAACAAGGGUGCCAAAAUGUUAAAUGGGUCAAGAAUAAUCCUUUUAACCCAUGGUACUGGGGCCACUGAAUAUCCACAUACAGAAGAAUAAAAUCAGACCUCUACUUCAUAGCAUAUAUACAAAGUUAACUCAACAUGUAAGCGCAAAAAUUAUAAAACUCAUAGGAAAAAACAAAGAUGUGUAUCUUUGUGACUGGAUUUGGCAAUGGUUUCUUAGAUGACACCAAAGGAGAAAAGCAAAUUAACUGGAUUCAUCAGGACAGUGAAAAGGCAAGCUAUAGAAUAGGAGAAAAUAUUUGAAAACCCUUUAUCUGGUAACGGAUCUGUAUCUAUAAUAUAGAAAUAACUCUUGUAAUUCACUUAGAAAAGACAGUCCAAUAUUAAAAUAGGCAAAGGAAUCAAACAGCCAGUUCUUCAAAGAAGAUACCUGAAUGGACAAUAAGCAUAGGAAAAGAUGCUCAAAAACAUUAUUCAUCAGAAAAAUGCAAAUCAAAACCACAGUGAGAUGCCAUUUCACACCCACUAUAGGAUGGCUACAAUAAAAAAGACAGAUGAUGACAGAUGUUGUUAAGAAUGUAGAAAAGCAUCAGAACCCUCAAGCACCACUUGGGAAAGAGUAAAUUAAGAAUCUUACUUAACUUCCUGCCUUUUACUAUGCUGUUUACAGCUGGGCCUGCAUGCUAAAUUAGUUGCCUGGGUUGCAAGUUAUUUGAUUAGUGCUGAAGGAGAAAAAGACCAGCAGAUAGGUAAAGUUAAAAAAUAAAUUGUGCCUGCAUAAUUAACACAAUAAAGACAUGGGCUAUGCUGAGGUACCCUCCUUUACAUGGGGAAUAUUCAAACAUUCCAGGCCAAGUUGUUCCUAGCUUUUUGAGCGUUAACUGAUUAACUCUGGGUCUUUUUCAGUGGGCUUUUUCCUGGCCUUACUCUUUUUCCACCUCACUCAUAUCUAUUUUUCUGACUAACAGCUGGAUGUAGAUAAUUUUCUUAAUUCUCUCUGUUUGGAUACAUACUAUACAUAAUCUGAAUCUUUCCACAUUUUUACAGAAUAUCUAAAGGGGAAAGGAAAUGAGUGAAGUAUCUCAUUUCAACUGGUUUAUAUAAUGACCUUUUGUACAAUUAACCUGAAAUCCACAAAAUAAAUGUAUUCUACAUCUGCAACAGUGAAGGUAACAAAAAUUACAAUUUUCUGAAACAUUCCAUUAAACAUUAUGAUGUGAUUUUAUUUGGCUUGCCUCAUCAUGGCAAAAGAGAGAUCUGUAAAAAAAACAAUGGUUGGUACUAAAAAACAAAGUCUCAACUGAUGUGAAGAGUGAUGCGUAAUUUUGUUUUCCUAAGGAUAAAUAUUGUAAGAAAAAAUGGGUAAUGUAAAUGGCAGAACUAAAGUCAGAGUUUAAGAAAUAAGUGCAUUGUAAAGACAGAAUUGUAAUAAAUUUGUUGUAAUGAAAAUAUAAAAGCUGUCCA